GCCAAAUCCCGCUCGGUCGGCCCACCAUCACCUCAAAAGCCAACCCGCGCGGCCCAUCUGCCCUGUGCACUUGUGCCACUGACGGCUUGGGCCCGCUGGCCAGUUCAUCUGUGGUCUCCGCAUCGUGCGCGCCUGGGUGUUUCAUCUCGCUGUCUGGUGGGCCCCCCUUGUCACCCCCCCUAUACCAUGGCUGUUGUAGAUCUUCUCGGCUGUUGUGGAUGCACCCGUAUCGGCCUCACCGCCGUCACCGGGGGAAUUGGGUUCGGUUGCAACCACCCGGUCCACCAGCUGGCCGCCAGGUGCGGACUCCGUGGGCCAUAUAAAGUCGUGCCCCAAGUCUACUACCGUGUGGUGAAGAACCUGUCGCCGCAAGGAGAAAGUGCGGCCGCUGCAGUCCACCAUCCCCCACUGCACGUCGUUGGCGGGCACCUGGGGAGCAUCCGAAGAGAGUCGCGGGGGCACUCUUCACCUGGCCGGGUCGCUGUGAUCUCUUGGGCGGUGGGGCGUGCGUCGAAUUUGUCGUCGUGGUGCGCUCAACUGGGCGGAGCGGUGCUACACCGUCGGCCGACCUCACCCUCGUCCCCUCGGGUGGUAAGCCCCUCUAACAUACUCCUUGUGGCCUCCGCACCUUGUAUCACCGCUCGAAUCCAAGGAUUGGACCGUGA
rnacentral:lncRNA from 7 species